UACAGAGGUCCCAAGCGUUGUUCGGAUUCACUGGGCGUAAAGGGUGCGUAGGCGGUCGGAUAAGUCUGAUGUGAAAUCUUCGAGCUCAACUCGGAAACUGCAUCGGAAACUAUUCGGCUAGAGGAUUGGAGGGGAGACUGGAAUUCCUGGUGUAGCGGUGAAAUGCGCAGAUAUCAGGAGGAACACCGGUGGCGAAGGCGGGUCUCUGGGCAACAACUGACGCUGAGGAGCGAAAGCGUGGGGAGCGAACAGG
rnacentral:rRNA from 1 species